CUGCCCGGCCUCCUCCACGCUCGGUGCCCGCGCCUUCCUCCGCCCGCCCAGGCUCCUCGGGAGCCCCAGGGUGAAUACUGCCUCUGGUGGGAAAUAGAAGAGUGGGAGUAGAAAUAUGCCCCCCAAGUUCAAGCGCCACCUCAACGAUGAUGGUGUUACUGGCUCGGUGAAAAGCGAAAGGAAGGGGACCAUCUGGACCAAGAUUUGGACCUAGAAAUGAUCAAAGUAAGCAUGUGCAGAGUCGGGUGGAUGAAGUUAUUGAUGUCAUGCAAGAAAAAAUUACAAAGGGAAUUGAAAGAGACUCGAGAUGCUGCGGGACAAAUCAGAAAGCUUAUUGGACAAUGAGACUGCUUUUAGCAACAGAUCGAAACAACUUCGAAGGCAGAUGUGGUGGCUGGCGAGGCUGCAAGAUAAAAGCCAUCAUGGCUUUGGUUGCGGUUAUCCUUUUGCUAGUGAUUAUCACUCAGAUCAUCCUGCACUUGAAAAACUGAAGUUACACCGUCAUCAGAACAGUCAUUCUUUAACAACAGUGAAGAUGAACAGAAAAAUUCAAGUAGCUUUGCAAAUAGUAGUUGGAACUGAGUGAAAUCCAGUCACUGUUUUUAUGCCUGAAACAUAACCUUGUGAUUUGUGUUU